rnacentral:rRNA from 1 species
CAGCAGCCGCGGGAAUACGGAGGGCGCGAGCGUUACCCGGAUUUACUGGGCGUAAAGGGCGUGUAGGCGGCCUGGGGCGUCCCAUGUGAAAGGCCACGGCUCAACCGUGGAGGAGCGUGGGAUACGCUCAGGCUAGAGGGUGGGAGAGGGUGGUGGAAUUCCCGGAGUAGCGGUGAAAUGCGCAGAUACCGGGAGGAACGCCGAUGGCGAAGGCAGCCACCUGGUCCACCUCUGACGCUGAGGCGCGAAAGCGUGGGGAGCAAACCGGAUUAGAUACCCCGGUAGUCCCUGUCUCUUAUAC